CGGGUCUGGGAAAAAUCUUGGCCGCGACUGAUCCACACUUUCAGCUGAAGAAAUAACGUGAAGAAGAGCCUCCCAUACCUCAAGCAUGAAGGAAUGAAUCUCAACUGUAUUUAGUACAUUGAAGAAUAACCAACCACCAACUUUUAGAAGAGCAGCAGACCUUAGGAAUAUAUCAUCUUGAAGGUGUGCUCAUCCCAUACUAAUCCCCCGAUAGAGAACCAGGAGGAAGAGAUGAAGAAAAGGAACAAGAUGACAUCCAGUCUCACCGUGAUGCUAAUCUGUUUGUUCUUUUUUGUGCUAUCAACGUCAAGAUCAGAACGAGUUCCUUACGAGUAUGCGGCGGUUGCCACAACUCUUGGUUCGCGAUCUCGGGUCGGCGGCGUGACAAACAGCAAAUGCAUUCCAUCCACGUUCCAUAUCAGGUUGGUGCAUACACCGAGUAAAGUGGAUAGUUAGCAAGGUGAAUGGAUUGCAAAUGUUAUUUCUACUACUCUCCAUGCAUUUCAUCUAGAUCCAAUCACUUGCCACAUAAUGAGAGCUAAAGAGAAACAUAUGGUAAAAGGAUAAUAAACAUUUUGCACCAAUAUUGAAAAGUGAGAAAUAAUACUCAUAAUGCAAUAGGUCAGUGUCAUAUAAAAAGUUGGAAUACUUGUAUGAAACUUGGCAUAUUGGGAACAAUUUUGUAAGGAAUUUUUUUGGUUAGGAUGUUCAUUUGCUAAAAGAUUUAUACAAAAGAGAGAGAGAGGGGACAAAAAAAAGUGUAAGUUUUUCUAGAGUUGUUAGAACAAUUAACCAUUACACAUCAAUUUCAGGAAACCAUAAUGGUAUGUUUAAUAUAUAGAACUGACUGUGAAUAUAAUUCUAGUCUGCAAUAAUAUAUACAUUUUGUUUCCACCAUUAUUAUUAAGUUAUUAGAGUUUACUUCGUGCAAACAAGGGAACAUGGAAGUCAUGUUUCAAAAGUACGAUGUUUUGUCAACUAAAGAACAAUUUCUGCAGUCCAAUUGACAAGCCUGAAGCAUUGGCAGGCACCCAUCUCAUCGUUCUCUCACAACUGUUGACUGAGAGCAGACACACAAGGCCAUACACAUAAUCACAUUUUCUCACGCGUGUUAUAUGUCAUAUACAAACUUGUCUGUUAAUGAAUGUCAUGAUCUUUUCCCUUAUAAUUGCUUGCAGAUCAUGGUUCAUGCCACUUUGAAUCACUCCCCUGAUGCUACGAAGUUGUGUCAUCAUAAAGAUUUCAAGCUUUUCCCGUCAUGAUGCUUGAGCUGAUCAUCUUGUGGGUCAAAUCUCUCCCUUGGUCCAAAGAACAAGGACAGGCAACAGAUUAUGAUAUUUCCUUUUCUAAAUUUUGGAAUUUAAAUUCCUUGCAUUUGUCUCAUUAUCAUUAUGGAAGUUCAGAUAUCAGUUUAUGCUGUUUUCUGUGAUCUAAGCAACAAGGAUAAUCAACAAAGUGCCAGUUUUCUGUA